rnacentral:rRNA from 1 species
CCUACGGGUGGCUGCAGUGGGGAAUAUUGGACAAUGGGGGCAACCCUGAUCCAGCAAUGCCGCGUGUGUGAAGAAGGCCCUCGGGUUGUAAAGCACUUUCAGUGAGGAAGAACGCCUGGUGGUUAAUACCCAUCAGGAAAGACAUCACUCACAGAAGAAGCACCGGCUAACUCAGUGCCAGCAGCCGCGGUAAUACGGAGGGUGCGAGCGUUAAUCGGAAUUACUGGGCGUAAAGCGCGCGUAGGUGGCUUGAUAAGCCGGUUGUGAAAGCCCCGGGCUCAACCUGGGAACGGCAUCCGGAACUGUCAAGCUAGAGUGCAGGAGAGGAAAGUAGAAUUCCCUGUGUAGCGGUGAAAUGCGUAGAGAUCGGGAGGAAUACCAGUGGCGAAGGCGGCCUUCUGGACUGACACUGACACUGAGGUGCGAAAGCGUGGGUAGCAAACAGGAUUAGAUACCCUGGUAGUC